rnacentral:lncRNA from 1 species
UUUUUUUUCCUCCUGCAACCCUUUAGAAAGAGAGACAGGACAAAAGAAGAAUGUGUGUUCUAUAUGCACAAUUCUUUGCAGGCCUCUGACGAAGUACCUCAAAAGCUAAGCUCCCAUCAAUCCUGGAGAGAUAGAAUCAGCGGAGCAUAGUGAUGGAAUGAAUGGUUGAAAAGAACAGCGGUGACCAAAGAACUUUUUAUGCAGAGAAAACCCCAAAUCUGGGGCAAAGCCCUCCUGUUCAUUUUAUCUCACAAAAGGAUAAUGCCAUCUACACCCAGAAAAGAUGAAGACUCUAAUCGGAAGAUACUUGCGCCCCAGUGUUCAUUGCAGCACUAUUUACAACAGCCGAGACACGGAAGCAACCUAAAUGUCCAUCGACAGAGGACUGGAUAAAGGAUGUGGUACAUAAACACAGUGAAGUAUUAGUCAUCAAGAGGAAUGAAAUAAUGCCAUUUUCAGCAACACGGAUGGACCUAGAGAUUAUCAUACUAAGUGAAGUAAGUCGGAUAAAGACAAAUAUCACAUGAUUAUCAUUUAAAGGUGGAAUCUAAAAAAUUACACAAAUGAACUUAUUUACAAAAUAGAAACAGACUCACAGAAAACAACUUUAUGUUACUAAAGGGGAAAGGGGGGUGAGGAGGGAUAAAUUAGGAGUUUGGGAUUCAAAGAUGCAAACAAUUACAUAUAAAAUUAACAACAAAGUCCUACUGUAUAGCAGAGGGAACUAUAUUCAGUAUCUUGUAAUAAC